AGCUCAGCUGGAUAGAGCGCUGCCCUCCGAAGGCAGAGGUCAGAGGUUCGAAUCCUCUCGGGUGCGCCA
rnacentral:tRNA from 1 species